GAUGAACGCUGGCGGCGUGCCUAACACAUGCAAGUCGAGCGGCAGCGAGGGGUGCUUGCACCCUGUCGGCGAGCGGCGGACGGCUGAGUAACGCGUGGGAACGUGCCCCAAAGUGAGGAAUAACUGCCCGAAAGGGUAGCUAAUACCGCAUAAUAUCUUCGGAUCAAAGGAUUUAUCCGCUUUGGGAGCGGCUCGCGUCGGUUUAGGUGGUUGGUGAGGUAAUGGCUCACCAAGCCGACGAUCCGUAGCUGGUCUGAGAGGAUGACAAGCCAGACUGGAACUGAGACCCAGUCCAGACUCCUACGGGAGGCAGGAGAGAGGAAUCUUCCACAAUGGGCGAAAGCCUGAUGGAGCAACGCCGCGUGCAGGACGAAGGCCUUCGGGUUGUAAACUGCUUUUAUAAGUGAGGAAUAUGACGGUAACUUAUGAAUAAGGAUCGGCUAACUACGUG
rnacentral:rRNA from 1 species